rnacentral:rRNA from 1 species
UACAGAGGAUGCAAGCGUUAUCCGGAAUGAUUGGGCGUAAAGCGUCCGCAGGUGGUUUUGUAAGUCUGCUGUUAAAGCGUUAGGCUCAACCUAAUAAGGGCAGUGGAAACUAUGAGACUAGAGUAUGUUAGGGGUAGAGGGAAUUCCCAGUGUAGCGGUGAAAUGCUUAGAUAUCGUCAAGAACACCGAUAGUGCAGACAGCUUACUAGGCUCUAACUGACACUGAGGCACGAAAGUGUGGGGAUCAAACAGG